rnacentral:misc_RNA from 1 species
GUCUUGACAUACUGCUCUAGCAUUGAUUUUAAAGGCAAUGACUUCAAAGCUCUUGUGCUUGAUUUCAUGGCGAAUGGAAGUUUGGAAAUGUGGUUGCAUCCAAAAGAAGAUGGUAAUAAUUGGUCAAGGACUUCUUCAAAGGCUUCGUGUCGCCAUUGAUUUGUCAUUUGCAUUGCAUUACCUUCAUGACCUUUGUGAAACGCCAAUCAUUCACUGUGACCUGAAGCCAAGCAACAUUCUGCUUGAAAAUGACAUGACUGCUCAUGUUGGUGAUUUCGGAUUAGCAAGGCUUCUUUCCAAAACAACUAACACUUCUUCUCAAGGCCAAACAAGCUCCAUCGGGAUUAAGGGAACAAUUGGUUAUAUGCCUCCAGAAUAUGGAAUAGGUAGCGAGGCAACAAAAGAUGGAGACGUGUACAGCUUUGGAAUAAUUUUGUUGGAGAUUUUCACAGGACGGAGACCAACUGAUGAAGUGUUUACAGAUGGUUUGAAUCUUCACAAUUUUGUUAGGUCUAAGCUACCAGGACAAGUAAUGCAGGUUCUGGAUCCCAAGCUUAUUGCAACAGGAGAAGUGGGAGCAAAAGAAAUUGUUGAAGGCAAGGAGGGUGAUGAUGGUCAAUCAGAAAUUGAAGAAAAUAAUUUCGAUGUUGAAAAUUUGAAAUCACCGGGAAGCAACAUGCAAAUUGUUGUAUCAGUUCUCAAAAUAGGACUCGCAUGUUCAGCAGAACAACCGGGAGAUCGAAUGAAUAUGAGAGAUGUCACAAGAAAACUAAACAUCAUCACAGAGGCUUUCUUUCGUGCAAGGACACUCUAAGAUUGAUGAAUGGUACACCACAAAUAGAGGAAGCAAUUGCAUCCAGGCCCCACUAACCUGGCUUGUGCACCUCACUGAAUUUCUAGAACAAGUGUUCUCUUUGGUAUUUUUCCGCCGAAUGAACAUCUCUCGUCGGCAAAUAAACCUCAAGUUCUAUCUUCGAGGCCUUUUCCAUACUUUUUUUUAGC